rnacentral:rRNA from 1 species
CGGCAUGCCUAACACAUGCAAGUCGAACGAGACCUUCGGGUCUAGUGGCGCACGGGUGCGUAACGCGUGGGAAUCUGCCCUUGGGUUCGGAAUAACAGUUAGAAAUGACUGCUAAUACCGGAUAAUGUCUUCGGACCAAAGAUUUAUCGCCCAGGGAUGAGCCCGCGUAGGAUUAGCUAGUUGGUGAGGUAAAGGCUCACCAAGGCGACGAUCCUUAGCUGGUCUGAGAGGAUGAUCAGCCACACUGGGACUGAGACACGGCCCAGACUCCUACGGGAGGCAGCAGUGGGGAAUAUUGGACAAUGGGCGAAAGCCUGAUCCAGCAAUGCCGCGUGAGUGAUGAAGGCCUUAGGGUUGUAAAGCUCUUUUACCCGGGAUGAUAAUGACAGUACCGGGAGAAUAAGCCCCGGCUAACUCCGUG